CCAGCUUUAGAUUUGAUGCUGGCAGACAGGCAUGCAUGUCUCAGGGUGAUUACACACUAACACAUUGUGAUUAAUUACACACAUUUUUAUACAUUUUAUUAACAAGAUUAAAAAAAACAUAGAAAAAGCAACAAAAAAGAUACACCAAAAGAAAUAUUAUCUGACACUGUAUUUCUCUUUCUUUUAUACACAAAUUCUUGUCACCAAAGCUUUGAAAAUCAUUAAAUGUAAACACAAAUAAGCAAUUAGAAUUCAUACAGUUUAAAAUAAACAUGGAUAUCCAGAUACAGUUAAUAUAAUUAACAAUAUAACAAUUAUCAUACACGUGGAAAGAAAUGUUCUCACAGCAUCAUUUAUACCAUGGAAGAAAAAGAAGCUUUUCCACCAUGGAUUAUGCAAUUUCAUUCUUCUUGAGGCAGUUAAGGUUAGAAUGGCAAAUGAAAUACACAGAAAAUAACAUAUGCAGCUAAACUAUUUGGCAUUGAUACAGUGCAUGAAUACAGAAACGUGGCAACAAAGAUUUCAGUGCGAAUACAUUGUUUAAGGCAAGACUUUACUGAUUCCACUGGGAAAAGAUCUCUUAUGAAGCUAUCCAUCAACUGGUAGGUUUUGUACGAAAAAGCUCCCUAAUUGUUCUUAAGUGAAUAAUUUCUUAGCUGAUUUGAAACAUGAGUGAAGAUUUUAAUAAGAGAAGAGAGAGACACAAUCUUCCCUUACUAUUUUCUUUUUCAAUGCAGCAAACCUCUUCAAACCUCUUCAAAGUUCUUCUGUGCUCCAGUGUCAGUCUUUUGCUCACUUCCAAAUUAACCAGUCAUUUCCUACAGAUGUCAGUCACCUUACCACUGCCUCCUGCAUGUUUUCUCCAUUCAAGGCUGGUAGUCAUCAUAAGAGUCUUCUGUGUGAAGAAAGAAACUUGAAAAGGAUGCCGAAUAAGUGAAAAUGAUGUCAAAGUUACCCAAUUCUGUCAAAUGAGAAGUGCUUUGCAGCUUUGCAUGGCUCACAGCUGAACACAGUCCACAGUGAUUUAGUCACGUGCAGCUACUAAAACAAGCUGGUUUAGUUCAUCUCCUUUUAAGUCAACCAUUCUUUAAACCAUCUGUCUUCUGAUUGGCUGCACC
ensembl:lncRNA